CCAGACUCCUACGGGAGGCAGCAGUGGGGAAUAUUGGACAAUGGGGGGAACCCUGAUCCAGCGACGCCGCGUGAGUGAAGAAGUAUUUCGGUAUGUAAAGCUCUAUCAGCAGGGAAGAAAGAAAUGACGGUACCUGACCAAGAAGCCCCGGCUAACUACGUGCCAGCAGCCGCGGUAAUACGUAGGGGGCAAGCGUUAUCCGGAUUUACUGGGUGUAAAGGGAGCGUAGACGGUAAUGCAAGUCUGGAGUGAAAUGCAGGGGCUCAACCCCUGAACUGCUUUGGAAACUGCAUGACUGGAGUGCAGGAGAGGUAAGUGGAAUUCCUAGUGUAGCGGUGAAAUGCGUAGAUAUCGGGAGGAACACCAGUGGCGAAGGCGGUUUACUGGACCACAACUGACGCUGAGACACGAAAGCGUGGGGAGCAAACAGGAUUAGAUACCCCUGUAA
rnacentral:rRNA from 1 species